AAGAGCUGUGUCACUAAGUUCCAUAAAAUCUGGGAGCCCAAGCAGCAUAUGUGUGGGAUUUGUCUGACAGAAUGCAACGGAAACAGAGCGCGGCAUUCGCUCCAUCUCCCCCAGAUGUUCCAUAAGUUUCUACUUCCAUCAGCAAUGUAAGGAAGUGCCCAAUUCCUCCUACCCCCACAUUACUGAGGAUCUUAUCAAAUUUUUUGAUCUUUUCUGAUUGGGGUGAAUAUCUGGACUUUUGGAGUACAACUGAACCACUACCCUCAUUGAGGUGAGGGCAGAGAGGCCAGAGCUCUGCGCACUGGUUUCCUCUCUCGUUGCCAACAUUACCCCUGAAGUUGCUUUGGGGGAGAUCUUGGGAUUCUGGGGAACACAGUUUGAAAACUACCAGUCUGGACCACUCUCUUUUUUCACUGAUGAGAAUCUGUAGCUCGGUGUAACUAAGUGACUUAAAAUAAUGUUCUGACAUUGGCAAGUUGCCGUAUGUUCCCAAUCCCCUAACCACCCGCCAUGUGCAUGGAAUGUAUCAUUGGUGUAGGAGCCGCACUGAUAUGAGAAUCACAGGAAGUUGGCCAGGGAGCCCACAGCUGCUAUUAGGGACUGCUACAGUGUCAGAAGUCCUCAUCCCAUAUAUUUGGGGGAAAGAAUGUUCCAGAAACAGGAAACAGCAAGUACAAAGUUUCUGAGCUACAUAUGUAGAGAGAUAUAGGUAUAGGUAUAGAAACAGUAUAGAUAAUUUAGAAAGACAGAGAUGGAGACAGACCUAGAGAUUAGAAUGUGCUUCAGCUAAGAAUAGGACCAUUUUUACUUAGCAUGCUGUUCAUAUUAAUAAGUUGCUGUUAUAAUUUUCACAGCCAAAAAUCCAUACAUGAUGUUAUUUGUAUUAUUUAUGUUGUUUUAUAUAUUGUUUUUAUUUAUGCUUAUAUUUUCACAGCACUCCUAAAUUGAGUGGAAUGAUUGCAAAGUGUUUCCAAUAAAUGAGGAUACUCCACCCCUUACCCUCCAAAAGUCUUCUCUUCAAUUUGGGUUUUGGUGCCAGCAAUUUAGUCUUGACUGAUACAAUAACGUUUCAAAUUUCUAGAAAGAGUUGGGGGAGGGAAGACUAGCCUGUGUUGUAGAGCUUUGAAGAGAUAAAAACAGCUUUGCACCUGAUGCCUCUCCCUGAGAAAGUAGCCCCAGAGAGUCCCAGUUCCACCUUCUUUUGAAAUUAUCUUAGAGGUAACCAAUGGAUCCCCUCCAGGAGGGACUGUCCAUCCCCACCAGGUGCAGAGAAUGAACCACUGCUUAAGUUUGCCUGGUAAAUGGUUUAGAGUGUCACUGCUAGACAUGGUGGCUGUGAUGUCACUACUGUGUGUAUCUUGAAAGGUCAAUAAAGAAUGAGUAAUACAUUUGAAGAGGUCCUUACUCAACAACAAUAUUUGUUUAAAGGCCUUAUACUACUGGUUUCAAGUAAUUCUCCUGCCUCAGCCUCUGGAAGUGCUGAGAUUAUAGGCACGAGCCACCACACCAGACCCAUUUAUCAUUAUUGUCUUUCAGUCCUGAGGAUUAACUGAGCUCAGCCAGGCAUUCCUUACUUGGCGUUUCUCUAGUGACAGUCACACAUUGGUCAGGUCGGAUCAUUCCAAUAGCUUCCUCCACCCACAUGUCUGGUACCAGGCCUGAGGAAAUAUGUAAAGCUUGGGACUAUAACAGCUGUGAUGCCUGGAGCUUUCUAUCCUUAUGUGGUCUCUCUACAUGGUGUGUCCAGCAUAGCUGUUUCAAGGUAACAGAUGUCCUCUUACCUGGCAACUCCAGACUCCAAAAGCAUAUGAGGAAAUGCAGGGAGGGAGGGCGGGCAUAUGAGCAUAUGCCAGGCACAAGCUGUCUACUUUUAUGACCUAGCCUCAGAAAUCACAAAGUAUUUCUAUUUGUUGGAAACAAGUCACUUAGGGCUGUCCCAUUUUCAAAGCAGGAAGUUAGACUUCUUUUUUUUUUUUUGGUUCGAGGACUGUCACAGAAGUGGCAG